UUGGUUUUAAUUAUAAUUCCAAUUAUUAAAGAAAAUUGAGUAAGGAUAUUGUUGGUGUCCUUAACUCAAGAAGUUUAGUUUUCAAUUAUUUAUUCAUUAAAUUUUUGAAAACCCGGCGUGAUGAAUCAUAGUAGUUAAGUGCACCCACUAAGACUUUAAGUUAGCUUCACGAGACCUAUUAAGAAUAAAAUUUUUGUAGGCUUUGUGGACCAAGGGGAUUAGCGCUGCUUUCCCAAGACAGGUUAUGUGAUUAUGAUCUUCAGGCUUUGCCUAAUCAGGUUGAGCAGUUGAUGGAAUGGAAUGAUGUUGAGCGGGUGUUCCUUUGACAUUUCAAGAAAUGUAACCUUGAGUAUACAUCUUCAUAUGUAUAUCUCACACGUUUUCCGCUGCAAAACACUUUGAUUAGGAUAACUCUAUAUUAUGAAGUUGUUACACGUGUUAUUGGGUAAACCACCUUAAUCAGUUCUCUUUUAUGUGUAUGUUUUAUAAGUAUCCAAAUGAUCAUAUAUGAUCCUAGCUUUUUAUCUAUAAGUGAUAUUUUCAUAUACUUUAAUGUUAA